GCGGGCAGCUAUACAUGCAGUCGAGCGGACCGACGGGAGCUUGCUCCCUUAGGUCAGCGGCGGACGGGUGAGUAACACGUGGGUAACCUGCCUGUAAGACUGGGAUAACUCCGGGAAACCGGGGCUAAUACCGGAUGCUUGAUUGAACCGCAUGGUUCAAUCAUAAAAGGUGGCUUUUAGCUACCACUUGCAGAUGGACCCGCGGCGCAUUAGCUAGUUGGUGAGGUAACGGCUCACCAAGGCGACGAUGCGUAGCCGACCUGAGAGGGUGAUCGGCCACACUGGGACUGAGACACGGCCCAGACUCCUACGGGAGGCAGCAGUAGGGAAUCUUCCGCAAUGGACGAAAGUCUGACGGAGCAACGCCGCGUGAGUGAUGAAGGUUUUCGGAUCGUAAAACUCUGUUGUUAGGGAAGAACAAGUACCGUUCGAAUAGGGCGGCACCUUGACGGUACCUAACCAGAAAGCCACGGCUAACUACGUGCCAGCAGCCGCGGUAAUACGUAGGUGGCAAGCGUUGUCCGGAAUUAUUGGGCGUAAAGCGCGCGCAGGCGGUUUCUUAAGUCUGAUGUGAAAGCCCCCGGCUCAACCGGGGAGGGUCAUUGGAAACUGGGGAACUUGAGUGCAGAAGAGGAGAGUGGAAUUCCACGUGUAGCGGUGAAAUGCGUAGAGAUGUGGAGGAACACCAGUGGCGAAGGCGACUCUCUGGGUCUGUAACUGACGCUGAGGCGCGAAAGCGUGGGGAGCGAACAGGAUUAGAUACCCUGGUAGUCCACGCCGUAAACGAUGAGUGCUAAGUGUUAGAGGGUUUCCGCCCUUUAGUGCUGCAGCAAACGCAUUAAGCACUCCGCC
rnacentral:rRNA from 1 species